CCCCCGCGGCCUUCAGGGCGGCGGUGUGUGCGGCUCCGUGCGCGGCCUUCCCGGGCAUCCCGGGCCGUCAGCGCCCCACCUGCGGUGUGUGUGGCGAGCUACAGGGGGCGAGGCUACACUGGGGAGAUCGCAGAAUCACUGACGUUCAGACUCGGUCAGAUUGGAAGGGACCACAGGAGGUCAUCUGGUCCACCCUCCCUGUCCAAGCUGGGCCAUUCCAGGCAUGAUGCCGUGUCCAGACAGUUCUUGGAUCUCUCCGGAGAAUAUAGGAUGCUGUUAAUUUUAUCUGAAUGAACUCUGACUCCAGCAAAAAAGAACUACAAAAAUCCCCAGGCCACAAUGACCUUUCAGCCUAACAACUUGCAUACAAGACUUGAAAAUUUUGGAGACCAGCAAAUCAACACAAAUUGCAAGAAUUAGGAAACACCACAGAUGGACCUUGAGAAAGAAAACAGUGGGAAACUACAUGAAAUACAUGAAAUCAAAGACUGAACAGAGAAUAUGAAGCAGCAGAAGAAAGAGAUUUCAGCAUGGCCUGUGAAAGCAAAAUAGGGGAAAAAGGGAUGGGAAUGAACAAGAAACAGUGCACAGAGGGCACCUGCUGUUUAAGUACACCUCUGACAAAGGAGCAAGGCACUCUACAAAGAAGGCAAACAAAAAUGGAAAAUAUUUCAGAAAUAUUCUGAAUAGUCUGAAUCAUAAGGAUGUAAAACAAAGAAUAAUGCUGAUGAAAAAAGGCAGAGGGCAGACAGAAAGUGAAUAAAGAACCAAAUUUAAGUGGGAAAACAGUAAUUAAAUUGCAGGUAUUCACCUAAGCUAUUUAGAAAAAGAAGGCACAAAUAGGCUCCUGAAGGAAUAUAAUGUCCAUACUAUAAAGACAUUUAUGCAGCAGAAGAACAUGAGAAGUUUAACACUGUAAUCUUGGAAUUUACACUGCGAACAAUGAAUGUGGAGACCACCGCAGAAGAGGCAGAAAAUAUGCAGUGUAAGAAAGUAGAGAUUAGAGUUUCUGAAGCAAGAGGAGUGGGAAUGAUUAUUUUUUACAUACAGAUACUUUAGGAUCAGAAAAAUCUCUCUGGUCACUGAUGCAGCACAUUAUCCAAAUGAAAAAAAGAAAAGAGAAAAAAGGGGAAAAAAAAGAAAGAGCUACUUAAAAGCAUUUAAAAUUAAGAAGUUUAUGUAGAGAGACAAUAAUGACUACAUACUAUCUGGAGAUAAAUUGGUUAUUAAGCAAGAGAAAAGUGAGGGCAAACAGGCAGAAAGUGAAAAAAAUAAAGCUUUAGGCCAUCUACACAGACCUCAAAUGAAGCAGCUCAGCUGUGAGGAAAGUUCCCUCAGGAGAAAUAACAGAUAUAGAAAAAGCAAAAGCAAUGCUUAAAAAAAAAUAAUCAAGCAAGCUGCUCACAUAAUUAUCAGUUUAUUAUUUCAACUUACAAUGGUUUUAAAUAUUAAUGUAAUAUAUAGCAUUAAAUAAGGAAUUGGCUUUAACUAAAUUUUAUCAAGUGGAAUCUGUUUGGCCAUUUAACUUGCUUAGAGGUUUUACUAGAAAUCAUUUCUAGUCCACUAUCUUGUUUCUGGGAAAAUGUAGUGCAUUUUUUGGUGUUGAAUUUUCUAGCUUUGCCCUUCCUCAUUACAUGCCAAGUUACAACAAUUUUUGUCUGAUCUCAAUAAGGCCAACUUAAACUAGUUGAAACUAAAAUGACCUUCCUUGCCUACUUUAAAACUGUCUUUUUUAGCUCUGCUUUCUAUUCUGAUACCUCUGACUGAGAUUUUUCCUCUUCGUCAACAAGUGUCAUCUCCAAAUAUGUUUUCCUUUAAAGAUGAUUUAAAAAGUCAAGAAGUAUUUUUCAUACAACUGUUUUCAAUAUUUUAUAUUACUGACUUUAGAAACAGAUUGACAUUUCACAGAAAUUUGAAGCUGUACAAGAUAAUCUAUUUCCAUAAGCCCAUUUUCAUUAGCUUAGCUUCUGUUUUUUCACUUUCAGAGAGCUAAAAAGAUUUAUUGUGCCUAUCUUCUACAGGAAGCCACAAAAUCUUACCUGUGACACUGCUUGCUUUGGAAAUAAUUCACACUGCAAACAGGGCUACAGAAUAUAGAAAAAGCUCAGCAAGAACACUCAAACACACAAAUUUUUGUGUGCACCAUAAACUGAUGUAAGUUAGAGUUUUACAUAAACUAUAUUUAAAACAUCUUGAGGCAUUUAAGAUAAGAAAUCUAGUCAGCUGUAAGACAUUUAGAUUGUUCUAUACAAUACCUGAGUAUAUUUUCAAGUAUACAGUGAUUUUAGGUCAUACAUAUCAUCAAAAUGAAUUUUUAGUUUAAAAAGUAUUCUGUAUCAUUUAUACAGCAUCUAAAAUGCAUUAUCAAUAAAUAUAGGAAUUAAAAAAAUUAUAUUCUAUAUUCUUGAAUGUGAGUGUUUAGGACUUGGAAUUAAAAUAUUCUCAGGUAAUUCUUCAGUUUCAUACAGAUUCUUUUGAACAGUUGAAAGACUCAUUGCUUCAGCUACAACAUACAAAUACAGCGUUCCUGUAUUCCAUCUACAGUAAUUUCACGAAUACAAGCCGCACCAAUUUGACUAAGAUUUUGCUCCU